rnacentral:rRNA from 1 species
UACGAAGGGGGCUAGCGUUGCUCGGAAUCACUGGGCGUAAAGCGCACGUAGGCGGAUUGCUAAGUCAGGGGUGAAAUCCUGGAGCUCAACUCCAGAACUGCCUUUGAUACUGGCGAUCUCGAGUCGGGAGAGGUGAGUGGAACUGCGAGUGUAGAGGUGAAAUUCGUAGAUAUUCGCAAGAACACCAGUGGCGAAGGCGGCUCACUGGCCCGGUACUGACGCUGAGGUGCGAAAGCGUGGGGAGCACAGGAGUA